GGGCUACACCAAGAACUCACUGACUGGGAAACUCCAGUUCAGAGCUGGAGGGAUUAUUGCUUGGGGCUGAAGCUGACAAUGCUGGGCUUGCUGGGAUCUGAUAGAAAAAGCAAAUGAAGUGCGGGGAUAGGAGAAAUGACAUAUUGGGAGCUGAGUGACGCGGACACCUAUAAACUGAAUAUGUGCCUGACCAGAAAGUGAGGGACAAUGGCAUCCGCCUUCUGCUCUCCAAAGGGAGGAUUAUCCGAGAUGAGCAGACGUUUACUGACCGGAGCCUCUACACGGCGGACAGCGAAGAUGAGGACGACCGGAUGAGGUGGAGGAAGGAUAUUAAGCAGGAGAAGCCGUGCUCCACGUCGGGGAUGGAGGAUAAAGCGGAAACACAGAAACCACUUAACAUGUUCUUUGAAAGUGUCAAGUCGGAGCUCAGGAACGGAUCCUCCGAAUAUUCCGAUAUUACUGAUUCCGAGGGAUCCGAAGACAAUUGCACUAACCAGGUAUGGGGGGGGGGUUAUUGGGAAAAGGAAAUGGGAUAUUGGGGUUACCCCUAAGUUCCCAACAUGUCCGUUUAGGGCAGAGACACGCUCAGAUUCGGGGAGAUUAGUCGCCCGGCGACAAAUCG